rnacentral:miRNA from 1 species
UGUCAUUGAUACGCGUAUUC